rnacentral:rRNA from 1 species
GACGAACGCUGGCGGCGUGCUUAACACAUGCAAGUCGAACGAUGAACUUGGAGCUUGCUCUGGGGGAUUAGUGGCGAACGGGUGAGUAACACGUGAGUAACCUGCCCUGGACUCUGGGAUAACUUCGAGAAAUCGGAGCUAAUACCGGAUAGGACCUUGCACCGCAUGGUGUGGGGUGGAAAGUUUUUCGGUUUGGGAUGGACUCGCGGCCUAUCAGCUUGUUGGUGAGGUAAUGGCUCAGCAAGGGGUCGACGGGUAGCCGGCCUGAGAGGGUGACCGGGCCCAGUGGGACUGAGACACGGCCCAGAAUCCUACGGGAGGCAGCAGUGGUGAAUAUUGCACAAUGGACGCAUGCCUGAUGCAGCAACGCCGCGUGCGGGAUGACGGCCUUCGGGUUGUAAACCGCUUUUAGUAGGGAAGAAGCCUUCGGGUGACGGUACCUGCAGAAAAAGGACCGGCUAACUACGUGCCAGCCGCCGCAGUAAGAC